rnacentral:rRNA from 1 species
AUACGUAGGUGGCAAGCGUUGUCCGGAUUUACUGGGUGUAAAGGGCGUGUAGGCGGAGAUGCAAGUCAGGAGUGAAAUCUAGGGGCUCAACCCCUAAACUGCUUUUGAAACUGUAUCCCUUGAGUAUCGGAGAGGCAGGCGGAAUUCCUAGUGUAGCGGUGAAAUGCGUAGAUAUUAGGAGGAAAACCAGUGGCGAAGGCGGCCCGCUGGACGACAACUGACGGUGAGGCGCGGAAGCGGGGGGAACAAACAGGAAUAGAUACCCUGGUAGUCCACGCUGGAAACGAAGAAAACUAGGUGUGGGGGGACCUACCCCCUUCGUGCCGCAGGUAACACAAAUAGUAAUCCCCCCGGGGAGUACGAUCGCAAGAUUGAAACUCAAAGGAAUUGACGGGG